rnacentral:rRNA from 1 species
GAUGAACGCUGGCGGCGUGCCUAAUACAUGCAAGUCGAGCGAACGGACGAGAAGCUUGCUUUUCUGAUGUUAGCGGCGGACGGGUGAGUAACACGUGGAUAACCUACCUAUAAGACUGGGAUAACUUCGGGAAACCGGAGCUAAUACCGGAUAAUAUUUUGAACCGCAUGGUUCAUAAGUGAAAGACGGUCUUGCUGUCACUUAUAGAUGGAUCCGCGCUGCAUUAGCUAGUUGGUAAGGUAACGGCUUACCAAGGCAACGAUGCAUAGCCGACCUGAGAGGGUGAUCGGCCACACUGGAACUGGGACACGGUCCAGACUCCUACGGGAGGCAGCAGUAGGGAAUCUUCCGCAAUGGGCGAAAGCCUGACGGAGCAACGCCGCGUGAGUGAUGAAGGUCUUCGGAUCGUAAAACUCUGUUAUUAGGGAAGAACAUAUGUGUAAGUAACUGUGCACAUCUUGACGGUACCUAAUCAGAAAGCCACGGCUAACUACGUG